rnacentral:rRNA from 1 species
AUGAAGGCCCUCAUUCUUGUGGGAGGAUUCGGCACUCGCCUGCGGCCGCUGACGCUCAGCGUGCCGAAGCCGCUCGUCGAUUUCGCCAACAAGCCCAUGAUCCUGCAUCAGAUCGAGGCUCUGAAAGAUGUGGGAGUCACAGAAGUUGUCCUGGCCAUCAAUUACCAGCCAGAGGUCAUGCUCAACUUUCUCAAGGACUUCGAGAGCAAGCUUGGCAUCAAGAUCACCUGCUCCCAGGAGACAGAGCCAAUGGGAACCGCCGGACCGCUGGCCCUUGCCCGCGACAAGCUCGACGACGGAUCCGGCGAGCCUUUCUUCGUCCUCAACAGCGACGUGAUCAGCGAGUACCCGUUCGCAGAGCUCAUCGAGUUCCACAAGUCCCAUGGCGGCGAGGCCACGAUCAUGGUCACCAAGGUGGACGAGCCUUCCAAGUACGGCGUGGUGGUGACGGAGGAGGAGACCGGGAAGGUGGAGCGGUUCGUGGAGAAGCCCAAGGUGUUCGUGGGCAACAAGAUCAACGCCGGCAUCUACCUGCUGAGCCCGUCCGUGCUGGACCGCAUCGAGCUGAAGCCGACGUCCAUCGAGAAGGAGGUGUUCCCGCGCAUCGCCGCCGACAAGGGCCUGUACGCCAUGGUGCUGCCGGGGUUCUGGAUGGACAUCGGGCAGCCGAGGGACUACAUCACGGGGCUGCGCCUCUACCUGGAGUCCCUGAGGAAGCGGGCGCCGGCGAGGCUGGCGGCGGGCGCGCACGUGCUGGGCAACGUGCUGGUGCACGAGACGGCGACGAUCGGGGAGGGGUGCCUGAUCGGGCCGGACGUGGCCGUCGGGCCCGGGUGCGUGGUGGAGGCCGGGGUGCGGCUGUCGAGGUGCACCGUGAUGCGGGGCGCCCGCGUGAAGAAGCACGCGUGCAUCUCCGGCAGCAUCGUGGGGUGGCACUCGACGGUGGGCAAGUGGGCGCGCGUGGAGAACAUGACCAUCCUCGGCGAGGACGUGCACGUCUGCGACGAGGUGUAUAGCAACGGCGGCGUCGUGCUCCCGCACAAGGAGAUCAAGUCCAGCAUCCUCAAGCCCGAGAUCGUCAUGUGA